rnacentral:rRNA from 1 species
AGUGAACGCUGGCGGUAGGCCUAACACAUGCAAGUCGAACGGCAGCACAGUAAGAGCUUGCUCUUACGGGUGGCGAGUGGCGGACGGGUGAGGAAUACAUCGGAAUCUACUUUUUCGUGGGGGAUAACGUAGGGAAACUUACGCUAAUACCGCAUACGACCUACGGGUGAAAGCAGGGGAGCUUCGGACCUUGCGCGAUUGAUUGAGCCGAUGUCGGAUUAGCUAGUUGGCGGGGUAAAGGCCCACCAAGGCGACGAUCCGUAGCUGGUCUGAGAGGAUGAUCAGCCACACUGGAACUGAGACACGGUCCAGACUCCUACGGGAGGCAGCAGUGGGGAAUAUUGGACAAUGGGCGCAAGCCUGAUCCAGCCAUACCGCGUGGGUGAAGAAGGCCUUCGGGUUGUAAAGCCCUUUUGUUGGGAAAGAAAAGCAGCAGGUUAAUACCCCGCUGUUCUGACGGUACCCAAAGAAUAAGCACCGGCUAACUUCGUG